ACACGACUACAUUAGAUACCCCUGUAGUCCAGGGUGUAAACGCUGCGGGCUUGGUGUUGGGGUCCUUUGAGGGCGCCCAGUGCCGGAGAGAAGUUGUUAAGCCUGCUGCUUGGGGAGUACGUCCGCAAGGAUGAAACUUAAAGGAAUUGGCGGGGGAGCACCGCAACGGGAGGAGCGUGCGGUUUAAUUGGAUUCAACACCGUAAAACUCACCAGGGAAGACUGUUACAUGAAGGCCGAGAUGAAGACUCUGCUAGAUUUUCAG
rnacentral:rRNA from 1 species